UUUACACUUUAGGUGGAUGCUUAAUCUGACAUAUUAAAGUGAAAAACCAAGAUUUACACUUUAGGUAAACAGCCGCCUUGAUUAAACCAGCUUUGUCGGAAGGACUACCGGAGAGGCUGCUAAGAAUCUCUCCAAGAAGCAUCCUGUUAUGGCUGCUACCAAGGUUUCAGGUCACCAACUGGACCUGCAGUCCAGUUCAAGAUCUUCUCACCUGGCCUAAGGUAAACACUUCUAUCAUGAGGUAAUUUUCGUGCAAGUCCAUUCAAUACUUGAUGGAAAGCAUCUCCUGGUUGGGCAGGUUGUGGGAAUAGCAUAGCCUGCUUCAUUGAAGGGUUAGCGAGCAGUCUCUGCUUCCUCAAUAUUACUUCAGGUGGAAUGGAAGUGAGUAUGGUGUCCAAAUUUGGAACAUCUUCCUCAUCUACAUAUACCCCAAUUUCUUCCCAUGGGAUUGCAUCAGCAAAGGGUAAAACAAUGUCAU
rnacentral:lncRNA from 1 species